CAAUAUAGUCUAUUGGUGUGGAUGACAUUGACAUUCGUAUUGCGCGUUUUUUAAAAUAUGCAAAAUUAAAUGUAUAUUUUUCAAUAUUUCUGAGAGAUUAUCUUAAUAUUUCUUCGAGUUUUAAAGACUAAGAAGAUUUUUAUUUGCUAAUAAGUGUUUGUUAAUCAAGUUGGAAUUUCGUUUUUAACAAUGCUACCAACCAGACGUACAAGCUUAGGCCGCAGAACUCGAAAUACGGCAAGUCAAAGAAAUAUAAGAGCAAAUCAAACUGAUGAGCAUCGCGAAGCGCGAAAUGAACUUGAACUGAAUCGAUAUCAAGAUAGAAAUGUUGUGUUUAAUCCCCACAAAGCUGCAUUCAGUUAUAAUGUGGCAAUUGAUUACAGUUCAGAGCAAAUUGUUGCUAUUGGACUAAUGAACAUUGUGUGUCCACAUUGGGAUUGAAAUUAAAAAAUGAAGCCUCUGGAUUGUGUUGCGCCAGCGCGGCCAAGUCAAAUUGACGCCAUUGGUACCGCCACCAGAGCCACUACAUUCAUUGGUUCAUUUUUUGACUCAUAUCCAGCAGUACAAUAAUUGCUUUCAAAUGACAUCAUUUGGGGCAACAAAAGUUAUACGAGACAAUUUUUUGGCUACUUUUAGCAAAUUCAGGGAUUCAAAUAUAUCAUCAAACAGGUUCCUUAUUGCCAGUGCCUGUUGAAGACUAUACAUUUUUGCAAAUAUAUUUUAUGGACAAUUCAGCAAGAGAAGUCGAUCAGCGUUGCGCGCACCACAACUCAGUAAAGAGAUCCAUUGUGAUGAACAACUUCAAACAUUUUUCCUUCAACACAAUGAAUUAGUUGCAUUAGACCGAUGCAUUAGACAUUCACAAAUGCAUUAGACCGCAUGCCAUCAGAUAAUCACAAAAUUGGCAUCAGAGCCGAUAAGGCGCCUGCAGGACAGUGAAAUGAUUGAAUCCUAUGAAAUAAACACUAUUAUGAAAAUAUAUUUUGUUUUUUUUUUUAAAUUAGUAAAGU